AACCUCCGCAAUGUACGAAAGUGCGACGGGGGGAUCCCAAGUGUUAUGCUUAAAGGUAUGACUUUUCAUUAGUGUAAAAAGCUUUUAGAAUAAGAGCUGGGCAAGACCGGUGCCAGCCGCCGCGGUAACACCGGCAGCUCGAGUGGUAGCUGUUUUUAUUGGGCCUAAAGCGUUCGUAGCCGGUUUAAUAAGUCUUUGGUGAAAGCUUGUAGCUUAACUAUAAGAAUUGCUGGAGAUACUAUUGGACUUGAAGUCGGGAGAGGUUAGAGGUACUACCGGGGUAGGGGUGAAAUCCUAUAAUCCUGGGAGGACCACCUGUGGCGAAGGCGUCUAACUGGAACGGUUCUGACGGUGAGGGACGAAAGUUAGGGGCGCGAACCGGAUUAGAUACCCGGGUAGUCCUAACUGUAAACGAUGCGGACUUGGUGUUGGGGUGGCUUUGAGCUGCUCCAGUGCCGAAGGGAAGCUGUUAAGUCCGCCGCCUGGGAAGUACGGUCGCAAGACUGAAACUUAAAGGAAUU
rnacentral:rRNA from 1 species